CUCUCUGGGUGACGAGCGGCGGACGGGUGAGUAAUGUCUGGGAAACUGCCUGAUGGAGGGGGAUAACUACUGGAAACGGUAGCUAAUACCGCAUGACCUCGCAAGAGCAAAGUGGGGGACCUUCGGGCCUCACGCCAUCGGAUGUGCCCAGAUGGGAUUAGCUAGUAGGUGGGGUAAUGGCUCACCUAGGCGACGAUCCCUAGCUGGUCUGAGAGGAUGACCAGCCACACUGGAACUGAGACACGGUCCAGACUCCUACGGGAGGCAGCAGUGGGGAAUAUUGCACAAUGGGCGCAAGCCUGAUGCAGCCAUGCCGCGUGUGUGAAGAAGGCCUUAGGGUUGUAAAGCACUUUCAGCGAGGAGGAAGGGUUCAGUGUUAAUAGCACUGUGCAUUGACGUUACUCGCAGAAGAAGCACCGGCUAACUCCGUGCCAGCAGCCGCGGUAAUACGGAGGGUGCAAGCGUUAAUCGGAAUUACUGGGCGUAAAGCGCACGCAGGCGGUUUGUUAAGUCAGAUGUGAAAUCCCCGAGCUUAACUUGGGAACUGCAUUUGAAACUGGCAAGCUAGAGUCUUGUAGAGGGGGGUAGAAUUCCAGGUGUAGCGGUGAAAUGCGUAGAGAUCUGGAGGAAUACCGGUGGCGAAGGCGGCCCCC
rnacentral:rRNA from 1 species